GCCGGGCGUGGUGGUGCGUGCCUGUAGUCCCAGCUACUCGGAGGCUGAGGCAGGAGAAUGGCGUGAACCCAGGAGGCGGAGCUUGCAGUGAGCUGAGAUGGUGCCACUGCACUCCAGCCUGGGUGACAAAGCAAGAUUCCGUCUCAA
rnacentral:sRNA from 1 species